AAGAACCAAAAUUUAUUUCUUAUAGUUCUGGAGGCUGGGAAGUCCCAAAUCAAGGUGCUAGCAGAUUCAAUUUCUGGUGAACACUCCUUCUUGUAGAUGGUGCUUUCUUGCUGUGCCCUCUCAGCACAGCAAGGGGGAAGGGGAAAAACAGGCUUCCUCAGGCCUCUUUUACAUCAUGGAGUGACCUCAUGAUAUGAUUAAUCAUUUUCUAAAAGUCCCCACCCCUUUAUACCACCACAUUGGGGAUUAGGUUUCUAAAUAUGAAUUUUUGGGGGACAUAGACAUUUAGGCAAUUUUCCAUUCCUAUGAUUCUCUGAAUCAAAGUAGGACCUCAAUGAACUGUGGACCACAAUAAUCUGUUGUUUUCAGAUGAGCACUGUCCAGAUAAUAUCUGAAGUACCUGUUGCUCUGGAGCCUUAGGACGCUUUUGAAAAGCUACUUUUUCCCUCCUGUACCACUAUAUGUUCAUUUUAUGUCAUGUACCCUGAAGUGCCUAAUGCUAUUCCCUGCUAAUGGUGUAGAUGAUAAACAUUUGGAAGAGUGGACAGAUGGAUGAAAAGCACUGAAGUAUUUGUUUUCCUUUCCUUACAUAGAUUUGCCUUUGGCAUGUGACACAGCACCAGUAGGGGGAGCCCUGUAUCAAUUUGGAAAUCUGUAAGACUAGUUCUGUUCAGUAGGCUAAUUGUAUUUAAGAAUUUUGCUAAGAAUACAUUCCGGCACCCUGAUUUCAGGAUUUAAGUGAACAACGUUAGCACACUUACAAAUGAUGAGAAGAAGCGUAUGGACCUCAUCACUGAUUUCUCACCAAGGGCUUUUCUACAUGUAGAUGUUCCAAGUUAGUAUCUAGUUUUUUUCAUCCAUUUUGAAAGCAGCUAUCAUUCUUCCUAAAAAAUGUCAAAUUAUUGGAUACAUUUAGCCCUUCAAGUCUGUUAGUAACGGGCUGCUUCAGGCAUAAUUACAACAUGAUGGAUUUCCCAACUGUAUGAUAAUUGUUCUUUCCAUAGUUUUCUUCUUUGAAAAAAUAAAAGAGUAGCUUUUCACCAAGAUGGCGCCGAAAGUGAAGAAGGAAGCUCCUGCCCCUCCCAAAGCUGAAGCCAAAGCAAAGGCUUUGAAAGCCAAGAAGGCAGAGCUGAAAGGUGUCCACAGCCACAAAAAGAAGAUACGCAUGUCACCCACCUUCAGGCGGCCCAACACACUGAGGCUCUGGAGGCAGCCCAAAUACCCUAGGAAGAGUGCCACCAGGAGAAACAAGCUUGACCACUAUGCCAUCAUCAAGUUCCCCCUGACCACCGAGUCAGCCAUGAAGAAGAUAGAAGACAACAACACACUUGUGUUCAUUGUGGAUGUCAAGGCCAGCAAGCACCAGAUCAAGCAGGCUAUGAAGAAGCUCUAUGAUACUGAUGUGGCUAAGGUCAAUACACUGAUCAGGCCUGAUGGAGAGAGGAAGUCUUAUAUUCGACUAGCUCCUGAUUAUGAUGCUUUGGAUGUUGUCAACAAAAUUGGAAUCAUCUAAACGGAGUCCAGCUGGCUAAUUCUAAAUACACAUUUUUUUUCACCAUAAAAAAAAAAAAAGAAUAGUUGUAGGUAGAUGGGUUUUAAAGUUCUUCCCAGCUCAAAGUGAAGCUAGUUUAUAUGGGGAAAAUAUGUCUUAGGUAUGGCAGAAAUGUAAAAUCUGAGAAUAUUAAGGAUCUUUUGAGAAGUCAACUUAUUUUAGAAAAAUUUACGUAGUGGAAGCACUUAGCGUAUUGCAGUACACUAAACUUAGAAAAGCUGUAUAUGAUGUGUGUUCUUUUUCUAAAUUUUUGUUUUGAGUUUACAAAUUAUGGCUUUAGCAUCAUCAUUAUUAGUU